AGUGAACGCUGGCGGUAGGCCUAACACAUGCAAGUCGAACGGCAGCACAGUAAGAGCUUGCUCUUACGGGUGGCGAGUGGCGGACGGAUGAGGAAUACAUCGGAAUCUACUUUUUCGUGGGGGAUAACGUAGGGAAACUUACGCUAAUACCGCAUACGACCUACGGGUGAAAGCAGGGGAUCUUCGGACCUUGCGCGAUUGAAUGAGCCGAUGUCGGAUUAGCUAGUUGGCGGGGUAAAGGCCCACCAAGGCGACGAUCCGUAGCUGGUCUGAGAGGAUGAUAGGCCACACUGGAACUGAGACACGGUCAAGGCUACUGCGGGAGGCACCAGUGGGGAAUGUUGGACAGUGGGGGCAAGCCUGGUCCAGCCAUACCGCGUGGGUGAAGACGGCCUUCCGGUUGUAAAGCCGUUUUGUUGGGUAAGAAAAGCAGCAGGUUAAUACGCAGCGGUUGUGACGGUACCCAAUGAAUAAGCACCGGCUAACUUCGUG
rnacentral:rRNA from 1 species